rnacentral:lncRNA from 1 species
UUUACAUCCUAAUUUAAAAACCAUUAUUGCACCUUUGUUUUAACUUAGAUAGAGAACAGACAAUUAUGGAUUAUUAUUCACAACUUUAAUUAGGACUGUAGGUUAUGAAUAGAGGAUACUGUGGAGUUACAGUCAAUAAAUUAAUCCUAACAGCUUCUGGUCUCCUCUUAACCUGCUCUUUGUUUACAGAAAAUCCACCUCUUCCUUAAGUAUGAAUUAAGGGAUUUCUAUAUUCCCUUAAUAGCUCAUUCAUUUCUUCUCUAUUCAUCCCCAGGGUGCAUAUCACCCCAGAAAUUAUUCAUUUUGACCAAAUGUCACAAAAUAUAGUCUAUGCAAUAAAAAAGAAGAUUCAUCCCAAGAUUAUUUUGUGUGUGUGUACUGGUAUGAAUGGUUUAUACCAGUACAUACUACAACAUAAACAUGGUUUAUGUGGACACUUCCUGUGUCCCUGUUAAACAAAAGGCUUAAAAAAAAUACAAAACUGUGUUUUAUGACAUUCAAAAAUUACUAGUAGUUUUCUGUAAGGGGUAGGUUUAGAUCUAGGGUUGGUGUAGGCCGAUAGCAAAGACAGUUUGUACAGUAUAAAAACCAUUAUGUCUAUGGAAUGCCCCCAUAAAACAUAGAAAUCCAACAUGUGUGUGUUUCAACAGGAAGACCAGUUAAAUCGUGUGCCAUCUGUCAACAUGCUGAUCACCUGACUUUUUGGGUGGUGCUAGGAAUCAUGACCACAUAUGGGGGUGAUAAUGACUUGCACCGUUUUAAUUCUGCGGGUCAAGUUGAGUCAAACUGAAACUCCCUUCAAGGACAGAGAAUGCAGACGGAAGUGGCAGGGGGUUCAACAUCCAACCUGGCAGGGCUUUCACAUAGACACUGUAGUAUGAGACUAUCUGACAACAUUUAACAAACCCUGCCAAGAACAACCACUAAAACAUCACAUCAGACAAUAAUGUUUUUAAAAGGGCACACUGCAUUCUGAGAAAAAUCAAAAUACAUUUUUACAGUCUUGUAUUAUAUUUUCAUUUAACCCACUAUUAAAUGUAGCCAUAAUGGUGCUAGCUUUGCUAGCAUGUGUGUGUGUGUGUGUUCUCUCUCUUUGUCCUUUUCUUAUUGUUAAUUAUAUUUGGAAAUAAACAAAACAACAAACCUUUCAGUGGCGGAGCUAGAGUUUUAUGGCAUAAAAAAUGGGAAUUAUAUAAAUUAAUACUUUUAUUUAACAAGAAUAUUUUAAAUUGAUCAAAAGUGAUGAUAAAAGACAUUUAUAAUGUUACAAAAGAUUUCUAUUUCAGAUAAAUGCUGUUCUUCUAAACUUUCAUCAAAGAAACCUGAAACAAUUCUACUCAGCUGUUUUCAACAUAAUAAUAAUAAUAACAACAACAACUGUUUUUUGAGCAGCAAGUCAGAAUAUUAGAAUGAUUUCUGAAGGAUCAUGUGACUGGAGUAACAAUGCUAAAAAUUCAGUUUUGAAAUCGCAGGAAUAAAUUACAUUUUAAAAUAUAUUCAAAUAGAAAGCAGUUUUUUUUAAAUAGUAAAAAUAUUUCACAGUAUUACUGCUUUUGCUGUAUUUUGGACCAAAUAAAUGCAGACUUGGUGAGCAGAAGAGAAUUCUUUAAAAAUUCUUUAAAAAACAUUAAAAAUCUUUUUUACUGGUAAUGUACAUUUUAUUUGUUUCAAAUUUUUUCUAAACUAAACUAUACAGGGAACCCAAACAAUUGUUUUAUAUACAAGUUCAUAUUAGACCAUUCUUAAAAUAACGUUAUAUCUAUACAUUUUUAUUAAUUAUAAUAAAAAAGCAGUUAUGAGUAAAUAUAUAAAUGAAUUUUUUUGCAAAAUUCUCUCUACUGUACAUUUUUCUCGCUAGUUUAUGGACACUAAUGAGUGGAUUUUCUGCUGUUAAUAUUUUCUAGCUGCUGUCUUUCCACAGUUGAAACACUCGUUGAGUGAUUAGAUGAUACACAUUACAUUCAGUAAGUUGUAGUGUAUCUUUCAACAUGGAUCGGAUGUUCAUUCAAUGUUUAUUUCAUGCUAAUAAGAAUGCACUCCUGCUUUGCUUGAACUUGGGGCAAAACGGAAGCGCGAAUGAUCCAUCACGCUAAUAAAAAAAGCUCCAAAACUGUAUUUAUCGUUUGAAAUACUUAAUAAAAUUUGAAUCAAGAUUUUGAAUGCUGAGACUUUCUUUCCUACUGUGUCGUCCGUCAGCUCGUUGACUGUGUCCUCACUGCUCUGCGAUGUUUUUCACUCCGUAAGAAAAUUUACUUGUGUCGUGAGAGCGCAUACACGAGAGGCUGGAAAUAGACGCGAUGAAGCACGCUGCGGAACACUAGAGCUAAAAUAAACACUUCACUUCUUUCAGUAUGAUUAAACAAAGAAAAUGAAAUAGUAGCAUAGUAAUUAUAGGGGUGGCACCCGAGGUGGCCGAUCAGAUGUCAGCGGUGUCCAGUGCCACCCUGGACACCCCUCUGGCUCCGCCACUGAAAUAUUUCCCUUUUUGAUACUGUUUUACUGACUUUUAGUUUGUUAAAUAAAGCAACUUAUAUGUUAACACAAACCUGCACAGUGAUUUACUACAUCCAUUUCAUUCUCCAGUAGUAAACCAUUUUUCUUUUUAAGAACAUCCCCAAAAGGUAAGUUUUUUUUUGUUUUCAACUACCCCCCCAAGCCCCCCCACAUCCUCCUCUCCUCUCUCUCUCUCUCUCACCCCCCACCCACCCUCCUCUCUCUCCGUCUCUCUCUCUCUCACACACACACACACACACACACACACACAUUGGAAAAUGACAAUGUGAGUAAGAAAUGUUAAUCUCAUGAAAGCUCUGCGGUUAAGA